rnacentral:rRNA from 1 species
CCCUUCUCUUCUGGGAGGCAGCAGUAGGGAAUGUUCCGCAUAUGGCCGAAAGUCUGACGGAGCAACGCCGCGUGAGUGAUGAAGGCUUACGGAGUCGUAAAACUCUGUAAUUAGGGAAGAACGAAGUACUAGAUGAAUAAGCUGGCACCUGACGGUACUCACCAGAAGCACGCUAAUGCAGAAAACCCCCGCCUUUCCC